AACCGUCCACAACGGCUUCCUGACGUGGAUCUGAACCUAACUGGAGCA
rfam:Octadecabacter temperatus strain SB1, complete genome.